CGCUCUGGGCUCGGCUCUCGGCUCGCUCGGGGCUUCCUGCGAGCUCCGGAGCCACGUGGACCGCAGCCGGCUCGGCGGAGGCCAGGCUGGGGAGACGCCGGAGGCGGCGCGGGGACCGGAUCGCCGCCCCGGGAGGGCUCUGCGGGGACAGCUCCGCGACACUCCGCGCCGCCGCCGCCCACGGGCUGGAAAGACUAGGGAAGAAUCGCCCGGAGACCCGUGGGGUCAACCCCGGGGAGGAGGCGACGGGCGCCCGCCCAGAGGACGUGGCGGUGUCCUGAAGAGCCCAAGUCGGCCGCACCGUAGCACAGAAGGGGCCGGCCGACACCCUGUUGGUGACCGGGCAAAGCCAUGGACUUCCUUUAAGGGCGCGGGACUCGAGGUGGGAUUUAGGGAGGAGGAGGGGAGGAGCGCGGCGGGGCUGGGGCCCUGGUAAGGCCCGAGCCUGGGCCCCGUUCCGAGCCGCAGAGCGGCCACCGCGGCGCGGUCCCCGCCCCGGCUCGCCUGCCCGCCGCAGUUUUUUCCUCCCAGAUGCGGAGGCUGCACCGCGGUCCAGGGCAGGGUGAGCGCCAGGCAGCGGGACGCCAGGCAGGGGCAGGUCCCACGGCGACCUGGGACUGGGGCUUCUGGGACCGGACCCCCUGGGGGACUCAGGUUGUUCUAAUAAACGAGUGAAUCCAUCCAUGUUGAACCAUUACAACUAAGCUUAUCAUAUAGUAAGUACCCAGUGAAAGUUGGCUUUCAUGGAUGCUGGGCCCUCUGGCGUGGGCCCCUACUCACAAUGGGGGGGGGGGGAUGGGUAAAGGGUGGUCCAGGAGACUUUUCAGCCUUGGAGGAGGAAAAGGGAGCUAUUCAGAGCAUAGAGAAGUAGAAAAGGAGCGGGUUGAAAAACAGGAGGAGGAGAGAGUGCGAAAAUUCACCACUAGAAAAUUAAAGAAUUAGUAAUUAAGACUGCACCAUUUUAUCCUAGGUGAAUCUGGAAAGACGACCAGAUUGAGCAAGUAAGUGGCCCCCAAACAUCCAGCUGCUGGUUCUCCUUUGCAGCCAAGAACCAAAGACAGCUCUUAAUUUCAGCCCUAGGUCCUUGGCAGUUCCCGUCGGUGACUCCACAGUAAAAUGGAAAUUCCUAAUUAAGUGACUCUAUGGUGAAGCAUGCAUAAAUCACCACCUUAUCUAGAAAAAGAUUUCCAUCAGCUGCACCUUUUCCCGGUCUCAGUCUCGGAGGGGUUAACCCGGCCAGGCUUUUUCUCGCCCGCCUCAGUUGUGUUGCAAUGUUAUUUCUUACCAGGUGACAGACAGGGCCUCUCCCCCUCUCGGGUUUGUCCUCUAUUCCAUGGAGGCAGCACUUGCGAGGCCCUCGGACCUUUCGGGGAGCCCACAUCCUCCGGGGCUAUGUGUCAGGGGUGUGUGUGAGGGCAUUCCUCGUUGUCAUCCCGAGUGUCUCCUAACAUGCCCUGCCUAGUACAGCCGCCAUAGUCAUUCCUGGGAGUGUCUGCACAGUGAGUCCCCCCAGGGAGCCCUGACAUUGAUUUAAUGCUCACCCCCCUCCCGCCCCCGUGUGUUCAGAGCAACUGCAAAGCUCUCCUAAUAAUGGUGAAGGAAAUUGAUUUCAUCCUCUCCCCGCCCCCUUUCUUCACACAUCAGAAAGGAGGGAUCCUAAUGGGCCCUGAUGCUAUCUGGGUGAUUGGGCAGAAAAGGGCAGCCCGGCUUGUCAGCGGUGAGUUCAGAGCUGCUGGGCACGUGGCCGUUUGUUUUGGGCAGGGUUUUACUUACCACGGUUUUGGGGCCCCAACUUCCCUUAAGAUAAAAAGAGGUAAUAAGGGGAUGUACUGACAGAAGCCGGAAGGAGAGACACAGCCGGGCUUCCUGGCUCUGGCUCUGUCCCUCUUUCCCUCCCUCCGCUUUCUCUCCCUGCUCUUGCCCCCUCUCUGCUCUGUUGCAUCCCUGCCCACGGUCUCCUUCUGCUAAGUCCUAGGGUCUGCCCUGAAAUGUUCCUGGUGUCUGCGGCCCCAGCCCCCGUACGGCGGGGCAGCUGUCAAAACAGUCUUUCUUGUUUCACAGUUUCACUUUCCACUGUUCAUCUAUUCUGGAUUUUAGUUUUUCCAGAAGAGGAAUCUGACUGGCAGGCUUCACCGGGUCCUGGGUCAACAACCCAGCGGUGAAUGGGCUGCCCAGGCAGCAAGUGCCCGCCUGAAGAGAAAAGAGUCCUUAAGAGUAAGGCCUGGGAAGCUUCUCUUUAUUUCCAACUGGACGUGAACACGAAGGUAUUUUUAGCUCAAGUUUCUCUGGACGACAUCUUGUACCCAUGAGGGGAGACAAACCGAAGCUAAGUAGAUCCAGAGCCCUGAUCACACCGUACCUGAAGCCUACCUCUAGACUUUCUGUUGUAUUAGAACAAGUAUUUUGUUUAAGCCACUUUAGGUCAUGGUUCUGUUACUUGCUGCCAGAUGCUUGAGAACCAUACACAGCUACAGCCAGGUUCCUUUUUCCCCCAAAGUCCCUUCACUGCCCCCAAGGCAUUCCCAAGCUCAAAACCCUUAAAUCUUCAAUGGCUGCCAUUGUCUAAGGAUGCCAAUCCAAACUUCCGAGCCUAGAGAUCCAGAGGUCUAAUGCAAGGCCUGGGAUGAGGGAACUCUGCUUCUUAGCACUGAUCACUGUAUUCUCAGAGCUUUUGCUGUUCUGGGCUGCAGGACCCUUAAAGAACCAUGCCUCCUACACAUCGUAGACACUGGGUCCAGCCCUCCUGGAUGCUACCAUAACAAAUUACCAUGAGCCGGGGGCCCCACACAGCAGACAUGUAUUUUCUCACAGCUCAGGAGGCCAGAAGUGUGAAAUCAAAGUUUCUGCUGGAUUGGCUCCUUUUGGGAGGUCUGAGCGAGAAUCUGGCCUGUGCUUUUCUCCCAGCUUCUGGUGGCUCCUGGCAAUCUUCGGCCUUCCUUGGCUUGUAGAUGAUCCCUUCACAUGGCUCUGUGUGUGUGUGUGUGUGCGUGUGCACGUGCGCACACGCCUCCUCCUUUUGUAAGGACAGCAGUCACUGGAUACUUGGGGCCCACUUUAAUUCACCACAUACUAUGCUAAAUGCUGGGGACGUGGAGGUGGGCACAACACGGUCCCCGCCCACCAGGAGUCCACAGUUUGGCAGGGGACUGACCAUGCUUGGGAUUUCACCACGUUGGGGCAGCGCUGUGACAGGCUAACAGGUGGGUGUCGUGAGGUCACUUAGAGGAUGUUGGUUCACAAACCCGGGAGCAUUUGGAGUGUAGUCUGAAACUGACCGCACGCACAGAAGACAGGGAGAGACCGAAGGGAGAGGUGGGUCACUCCAUGUUGGUAAGUGGCAGGUUGAAUAAGCAAGAGAACUUACUUACAAGCCUGAUCUUGAGUGCCUCACGAUGAAUAGAUACCUGAACCCACCUUCUAGAAUCUUAAAAGUUUAGAGAGAGGCCUUUGUGAGGUUCGGUCAUAUACGCCGUCGAGGUGGUCUCCACAACACCUGUCCCUGAAGACGGCUCCCUCUGUGGGAACAGGGUGUGGGAGAGACUGCAUGUACAUUCCCAGGACAGGGGAGGGGGAGAAGGCCCUCCACUUCCCCGGGGUCAGCUCUCGGGUCAGCUGGCAGUCACGUCUUCCUGAUGACCUCCUCCACCGGAGGGUAGCUCCUGGGGGACAGGUGUCCUGGGAUCUCAGGGAGAACUAGGUGAGAGCAGGGGGGUGGGUGCGGUGUGCAGGAGGCGUGAGCCCAUCCGGUUCACGUACCACCUGCUAAGCCGGGUGGAGCAGACUGUGGACUUCGCUCUGGAUGCUGGCAGAGGCUCCGAGACUUCACACACCGGGCAGAGGCAACGGGGACGUGGUGACAUUUGCAUGCUGGCUAGACCACUCCCGCAGCCUCGGGAGGCCGGCGCUGGGGUGUCCAGACUGGAGGCCAUGUUCGUUCCGGGAAUCCCGCAGAGGCCAGGGGUCUGAGCUGAGGAAGGAGCAGAAGUGAGACAUCUGGGCAGGCAUCACCCAUCUUUCAUGGCGAGGCCGGCAGAAGCAUGAUAGGUUGACAGAAAAACCUUUGAUCCCUGAAGGCCUCACAACGGGUUCAGGGUUGGUAACAUCGUCCCUCAGGUCCCUUGUUUUGUGAGGGAGAACGUUUAACCAUGCUCAGCCCGGUUUCUUGAAGGUACCAUAGUGAGAUUGUUUUUAUUAAAAAAAAAAAAAAGUGUCUAACAUUUGUUUAUUUUUGAGAGCAAGCGAGACAGAGUGCAAGUGGGGGAGGGGCAGACGGAGAGGGAGACACAGAAUCCGAAGCAGGCUCCAGGUCCUGAGCUGUCAGCACAGAGCGGGACACGGGGCUCGAACUCACGAACCGUGAGAUCAUGACCUGAGCUGAAGUUGGACGCUUAACCGACUGAGCCACCCAGGCGCCCUGAGAUUUAUUUUUUAUUAUUAUUUGUAACCCAACUGCAAAAGUAAUUGACACUCAGUGGAUGGUGACCGUCUCUAAACUACAGCACCUCGGACUGUGGAAGGAGAAAGGAACCGUUUUCACAUGUCCCAUUUCGGUUUUUUGCGGGACUUUUCAUUUGCCGCUGACUCUGGUUACCAACCCUGUGUAACACAACAUCCCCAAAACUAGAGGCAUGAGACGGCCGUUCCUGCCUGUGUUUGAUCAUGGGUUCUGGGGGUGAGGAAUUUGGAUGGAACCCCGCAGGGUGGGCUUAUCUCUGCCCCACGUGUCUGGGAAGCUGAGAGUACCUUGAAUGGCUGAGGCUGGAGUCCGGAGGCUUCUUCACUCGUGGGUCUGGGAUCGGGGAUGAGUUGACUUGAAGACGAAACUCAGUCCGCCAGAGCACCUCCACGUGGCCAUAGAGGCUAGAUGUUGAGACGGGGAGCAUCCCAGGGGAACCGGGUAGAAGCCAUAUGCCCUUUAUGACCUCGCUUCCGAAGUAACACAGCCUCAUCUUUGUGCUCUGUGCUCCCCGUCACGAGCCCGUGCAGACACAAGGGAGGGGAUGGGGUGCAGGCGGUGGCAGGCUGCAGGCUGUAGUAUGUUCAGGACUGGGUUGCAGGACUAGAUUCACAGACAACGGGUGGUGGGGGGGACCUGGUGUGGAUGAGGUCACCUGGGUAUGUUGUAGAAAAUGAAGAGGGACAAGGUCGGAGCCCUGAGGACGUGGUGGUGGUCAAUAAAUGGUUAUGGAAUAAA